UGCUGGGUUAACAGCUUCCUUCCCUUUCUGUGUAUCAGUCUUGAAAUGUUCUGUUUAAAUCAGUAUGCUUAAUGUGUUCUGGGCAUUUUAUUUUGAUUGACUUACAAACUUCUUAAUCAUUAUUAAUCUCGGUUUUUUUUUUUUGUGGUGUAGUGGAAGGAGAAACAGUUCUAGUUUCUGCCUCUGAUUAGCUGCACAGCCUUGAACAAAUCACAUUUCAUCUUUGAACUUACCUCUACUGUUAGACGAGGCAACUCACAUUUGAGGACUUUU
rnacentral:lncRNA from 1 species